rnacentral:rRNA from 1 species
UGCCAGACUCCUACGGGAGGCAGCAGUGAGGAAUAUUGGUCAAUGGGCGGGAGCCUGAGCCAGCCAAGCCGCGUGAAGGAAGAAGGCGCCAGGCGUCGUAAACCUCUUUUGUCGGGGAGCAAAAGACGCCACGCGUGGCGUUCCGAGAGUACCCGGAGAAAAAGCAUCGGCUAACUCCGUGCCAGCAGCCGCGGUAAUACGGAGGAUGCGAGCGUUAUCCGGAUUUAUUGGGUUUAAAGGGUGCGUAGGCGGGCUUUUAAGUCAGCGGUAAAAAUUCGGGGCUCAACCCCGUCCGGCCGUUGAAACUGGGGGCCUUGAGUGGGCGAGAAGAAGGCGGAAUGCGUGGUGUAGCGGUGAAAUGCAUAGAUAUCACGCAGAACCCCGAUUGCGAAGGCAGCCUUCCGGCGCCCUACUGACGCUGAGGCACGAAAGUGCGGGGAUCGAACAGGAUUAGAUACCCCCGUAAAG